rnacentral:rRNA from 1 species
UACGUAGGGUGCAGGCGUUAAUCGGAAUUACUGGGCGUAAAGCGUGCGUAGGCGGUUUGUUGAGACAGGUGUGAAAUCCCCGGGCUUAACCUGGGAACUGCGCUUGUUACUGGCAGACUGGAGUGUGGCAGAGGGGGGUGGAAUUCCAGGUGUAGCAGUGAAAUGCGUAGAUAUCUGGAGGAACACCGAUGGCGAAGGCAGCCCCCUGGGCUAACACUGACGCUGAUGCACGAAAGCGUGGGGAGCAAACAGG